rnacentral:rRNA from 1 species
AACGAACGCUGGCGGCAUGCCUAACACAUGCAAGUCGAACGCCCCGCAAGGGGAGUGGCGAACGGGUGAGUAACGCGUGGGAACCUACCCAGCAAUUGGGGAUAACCGCGGGAAACUGCGGCUAAUACCGAAUACGUCCUAAGGGAGAAAGAUUUAUCGCUGUUGGAGGGGCCCGCGUCGGAUUAGCUAGUUGGUGAGGUAACGGCUCACCAAGGCGACGAUCCGUAGCUGGUCUGAGAGGAUGAUCAGCCACACUGGGACUUAGACAAGGCCCAGACGCCUGCGGGAGGCAGCAGGGGGGAAGAUUGGACAAGGGGGGCAACCCUGAUCCAGCAAUGCCGCGUGAGUGAUGAAGGCCUUAGGGUUGUAAAGCUCUUUUACCGGGGACGAUGAUGACGGUACCCGGAGAAUAAGCCCCGGCUAACUUCGUGCCAGCCGCCGCCGUAAUAC